AGAGUUUGAUCAUGGCUCAGGACGAACGCUGGCGGCGUGCCUAAUACAUGCAAGUUGAGCGAUGAAGAUUGGUGCUUGCACCAAUUUGAAGAGCAGCGAACGGGUGAGUAACGCGUGGGGAAUCUGCCUUUGAGCGGGGGACAACAUUUGGAAACGAAUGCUAAUACCGCAUAACAACUUUAAACAUAAGUUUUAAGUUUGAAAGAUGCAAUUGCAUCACUCAAAGAUGAUCCCGCGUUGUAUUAGCUAGUUGGUGAGGUAAAGGCUCACCAAGGCGAUGAUACAUAGCCGACCUGAGAGGGUGAUCGGCCACAUUGGGACUGAGACACGGCCCAAACUCCUACGGGAGGCAGCAGUAGGGAAUCUUCGGCAAUGGACGAAAGUCUGACCGAGCAACGCCGCGUGAGUGAAGAAGGUUUUCGGAUCGUAAAACUCUGUUGGUAGAGAAGAACGUUGGUGAGAGUGGAAAGCUCAUCAAGUGACGGUAACUACCCAGAAAGGGACGGCUAACUACGUGCCAGCAGCCGCGGUAAUACGUAGGUCCCGAGCGUUGUCCGGAUUUAUUGGGCGUAAAGCGAGCGCAGGUGGUUUAUUAAGUCUGGUGUAAAAGGCAGUGGCUCAACCAUUGUAUGCAUUGGAAACUGGUAGACUUGAGUGCAGGAGAGGAGAGUGGAAUUCCAUGUGUAGCGGUGAAAUGCGUAGAUAUAUGGAGGAACACCGGUGGCGAAAGCGGCUCUCUGGCCUGUAACUGACACUGANGCUCGAAAGCGUGGGGAGCAAACAGGAUUAGAUACCCUGGUAG
rnacentral:rRNA from 1 species